AUUGAACGCUGGCGGCAGGCCUAACACAUGCAAGUCGAGCGGAUGAAGGGAGCUUGCUCCUGGAUUCAGCGGCGGACGGGUGAGUAAUGCCUAGGAAUCUGCCUGGUAGUGGGGGAUAACGUCCGGAAACGGGCGCUAAUACCGCAUACGUCCUGAGGGAGAAAGUGGGGGAUCUUCGGACCUCACGCUAUCAGAUGAGCCUAGGUCGGAUUAGCUAGUUGGUGGGGUAAAGGCCUACCAAGGCGACGAUCCGUAACUGGUCUGAGAGGAUGAUCAGUCACACUGGAACUGAGACACGGUCCAGACUCCUACGGGAGGCAGCAGUGGGGAAUAUUGGACAAUGGGCGAAAGCCUGAUCCAGCCAUGCCGCGUGUGUGAAGAAGGUCUUCGGAUUGUAAAGCACUUUAAGUUGGGAGGAAGGGCAGUAAGUUAAUACCUUGCUGUUUCGACGUUACCAACAGAAUAAGCACCGGCUAACUUCGUGC
rnacentral:rRNA from 1 species